rnacentral:rRNA from 1 species
GAUGAACGCUGGCGGCGUGCCUAAUACAUGCAAGUCGAGCGAACGGACGAGAAGCUUGCUUCUCUGGUGUUAGCGGCGGACGGGUGAGUAACACGUGGAUAACCUACCUAUAAGACUGGGAUAACUUCGGGAAACCGGAGCUAAUACCGGAUAAUAUUUUGAACCGCAUGGUUCAAAAGUGAAAGACGGUCUUGCUGUCACUUAUAGAUGGAUCCGCGCUGCAUUAGCUAGUUGGUAAGGUAACGGCUUACCAAGGCAACGAUGCAUAGCCGACCUGAGAGGGUGAUCGGCCACACUGGAACUGAGACACGGUCCAGACUCCGACGGGAGGCAGCAGUAGGGAAUCUUCCGCAAUGGGCGAAAGCCUGACGGAGCAACGCCGCGUGAGUGAUGAAGGUCUUCGGAUCGUAAAACUCUGUUAUUAGGGAAGAACAUAUGUGUAAGUAACUGUGCACAUCUUGACGGUACCUAAUCAGAAAGCCACGGCUAACUACGUG